GGAAAAGAAGAAAUAAAAUAUACAUUUUUAUCGUUAGAUUAUGAGUAUAUUCGUUACUAUCAUGUAUUCAUUUUAUUAUUUAUUUACUUAUUUCGUUUUAGAACAGAAGUAUCCAUCGACAGACAUCCAUAACACAAACAUUUAGAAACAUCUUGAAGAUAAAACAGUUUCCCGCGUCGAAGCAUUAGGUGAUGCAAUAUCCAUAUGUACCUACAUUCACCGUAUCGAUUUUCUCAGGACUUCCGUAUACUUCUUAAGAAAUACAAAUACAGAUACAGUACACUUGAUAUUUACGUAGGAAUAAUGUAAUUGAUACGAAUGAGAAUAUUUCAAAUAGAAUUGACUUAUUCAACGUGUACUCGAAUCGAAUUUUAGGGAAAUCACAUAUAAGUUUUGAAUAUGCGUAGCAUUAGAAUAAUACGCUGCUAGUAUAUCACUUCCGGCAGGAAUGUAUCAAUCCUUCCAUCUUUAUUCAUCCCUCACACACUUCACUUUUACUUUUUACUUCACGAAGAUUUCCAUCGCACUAUUACUGUUAAUAAAAAAUAUUUGUGUCUAAACAUAUUUACGUCUAAAUAUAUAACUAUAGAUUAUUGUAAUCAAGUUUUUAUAAAAUGAUCGAAAACAUAAUAUUCUUUUCACAGACAUUGGAUCGAUUUUUUUGAUUACGAAAGAAAUGUAACGAAUCGAUAGUCAGAAACAUCGUGAUCUUCCGGUGUUUAUCCGGAUGUUCACGAUUUAAUGAAUUUCUUCUGAAUCUCGCGUGAAGCAUAUACGUUGACGGGAUUAGAAAUACUGCGUGUUAACGCUUCAACGAUGGAGUCUUCUUGGGGACACCCAUUGUUUCGACAUGGUAAAAGAAAAAGGUUGCAAACCACUGCAUUGAGAACUUCCGUUACUCGUUUCUCCCCCUUUUAUUCUUCUUCCGUGGCCGCAGAAGUAUGCUUAGAAUUAUUUUGUUUAAUGCCAAAAGAGUCGAUCACCGCAAAGCUUAUCACCAAACGAAUAGAUCCAUAGCCUUUUGAAAAGUUAUCUAUUUAUGGUACAACGUGGUAAGAAUAAUGAUCGAGAAUAAUCAUCGUUUGUUACUUUUCAUAUUAUAUAAACGAGACUUAUAUAAAUUUGAAUUUUAAUUGGAAUUUUGAAUUAUCAUAAAGAUUUUCAUUUGACUUUGCAAAAAAAUGUUAUCACUGAAACUGAAUUAAAAUAAAACGAAAUCUUACGCACGUACUUACGUAAGUUGCAGAUAAAAAACUACAAAUUUGCAAGUUUAAUGCUUUUCAAAGAUACUUUAUCUGUGUUUGCAAAUUGAAGAUGUAGAAAUGAGGUAGAUUUGUAGCAUUUAUCUGGUCGUUUCUGAACCGGAUUAUAUUUUAUAAACUUAUGUAAUUUGAAACUUACCAGUUUACUUAGUAGGUUAGUUGACACGAAAAGAUUUGACUAAGUAAAUCUUGUAAUUUCAGAGUAUGUAUAUUUAAAGAAAAUCUUUUUUUAUUUCUUUUAAAAAAUACUAAUAAUAAUUCAAUUACGUGAGAAUUAAAAAUAAAUUGAACUUGGGAAUUAUCACGUUUUGAAAAAUGCAGUAAUUUGAAUAGAAUGUUUCAGCAAUAUUCGAGUAUUAUUAAAUUAUUAUUUUAUUACUUUAUAAAAAGUUGAAAUUUUUAAUCCUGCAUUUUAUUUGAUUAAAGUUAAUUUUAAACUUGGACUGAAAUACCGGCCGAUCUUCUAAUAGAAUUGAGUUUAGAAUAAAAAUAGCACUCCUAAGUGAAUCUUAGAAAAGAUCUAUGCUGCGUUUUUUAAAUACUUACGAUAUUUAUCUAAAUAAUUAGAAACUAUGACAAAAUGCAUCAUAAUUAAUAUUAUUUUGAUUAAAAUCUUGUUAUGAUAAAUUAUAUUGAAUGAAGACACUUUUUUGAACAUUUAAUAUGAUUCAACAUAUAUCGUUUUUUCAACGAUAGAACGCCGAUAGAUUUUACUAAUUUUAGAAUAGAAUA